rnacentral:rRNA from 1 species
AUUGAACGCUGGCGGCAGGCCUAACACAUGCAAGUCGAGCGGAUGAAGGGGGCUUGCUCCUGGAUUCAGCGGCGGACGGGUGAGUAAUGCCUAGGAAUCUGCCUGGUAGUGGGGGAUAACGUCCGGAAACGGGCGCUAAUACCGCAUACGUCCUGAGGGAGAAAGUGGGGGAUCUUCGGACCGCACGCUAUCAUAUGAGGCUAGGUUGGAUUAGCUAGGUGGUGGGGUAAAGGCCUACCAAGGCGACGAUCCGUAACUGGUCUGAGAGGAUGAUCAGUCACCUUGGAACUGAGACACGGUCCAGACUCCUACGGGAGGCCGCAGUGGGGAAUAUUGCACGAAGGGCGAAAGCCUGAUCCAGCCAUGCCGCGUGUGUGCAGAAGGUCUUCGGAUUGUAAAGCACUUUAAGUUGGGAGGAAGGGCAGUAAGUUAAUACCUUGCUGUUUUGACGUUACCAACAGAAUAAGCACCGGCUAACUUCGUG